UCUCCGUAGGUGAACCUGCGGAGGGAUCAUUACAGAGUUCAUGCCCUACCGGGUAGAUCUCCCACCCUAUGUUAUUAUUACUUUGUUGCUUUGGCGGGCCGUUAGGCUCCGGCCCGACUACCGGCCCCGGCUGGUAAGCGCCCGCCAGAGGACCCAAAACCCUGAAUAUUAGUGUCGUCUGAAUACUAUAUAAUAGUUAAAACUUUCAACAACGGAUCUCUUGGUUCAG
rnacentral:misc_RNA from 1 species